rnacentral:rRNA from 1 species
AUGGUGUAUAUCUGCCUCCCUUGCGGUGAUGAAUUUUUUUUCGUGGAUGUUGAGAGGGAUGGCAUAAAGCAAACCCCACUUCCUUAUAUAGGUAAGAGUAACCCAUCGAAUCAGCAGCGAGUCUGUUAUCCCGAGAUGAGACAGAUGAUCAGACGUGAUUUCACCCCUUUGGAAGAUAUAUGUUGCCUUUUUGUACACAAGAUGACUGCUGUUGACAUUAGAGACGGCUACAUGGUUAGUGAACAUAACUAUAAUAUCCUGUCAAAUCAUUUUGUUGUUUUGCAAGUCGGAUUUAGAAGAUGGCUGAUCACUCAUCUCUGA